rnacentral:rRNA from 1 species
UACGUAGGGGGCGAGCGUUGUCCGGAAUCAUUGGGCGUAAAGCGCGUGUAGGCGGUCCGGUAAGUCCGCUGUGAAAGUCGGGGGCUCAACCCUCGGAUGCCGGUGGAUACUGUCGGGCUUGAGUACGGAAGAGGCGAGUGGAAUUCCUGGUGUAGCGGUGAAAUGCGUAGAUAUCUGGAGGAACACCGGUGGCGAAGGCGGCAUUCUGGACCGAUAUUGACGCCGAGGAGCGAAAGCCAGGGGAGCAAACGGG